rnacentral:rRNA from 1 species
GACGAACGCUGGCGGCGUGCCUAACACAUGCAAGUCAAACGGAAAGGCCCUGCUCUUGUGGGGUGCUCGAGUGGCGAACGGGUGAGUAACACGCGAGUAACAUGCCCUUGACUUUGGGAUAACUCCAGGAAACUGGGGCUAAUAUCGGAUAGGAGCUCCUGCUGCAUGGUGGGGGUUGGAAAGAUUGGGCGGUUGGGGAUGGAAUCGCGGCUUAUCAGCUUGUUGGUGGGGUAGUGGCUUACCAAGGCUUUGACGGGUAGCCGGCCUGAGAGGGUGACCGGGCACAUUGGGACUGAGGUAGCGCCCAGACGCCAACGGGAGGCAGCAGUGGAGAAUAUUGCGCAAUGGGCGGAAGCCUGAUGCAGCGACGCCGCGUGCGGGAUGACGGCCUGCGGGUUGUAAACCGCUUUCGCCUGUAACGAAGCGUGAGUGACGGUAAUGGGUAAAGAAGCACCGGCUAACUACGUG